rnacentral:rRNA from 1 species
UACAGAGGUCUCAAGCGUUGUUCGGAUUCAUUGGGCGUAAAGGGUGCGUAGGUGGCGGGGUAAGUCAGGUGUGAAAUCUCGAGGCUCAACCUCGAAACUGCACUUGAUACUGCCUUGCUCGAGUACUGGAGAGGAGAUUGGAAUUUACGGUGUAGCAGUGAAAUGCGUAGAUAUCGUAAGGAAGACCAGUGGCGAAGGCGAAUCUCUGGACAGUUACUGACACUGAGGCACGAAAGCGUGGGGAUCAAACAGG